rnacentral:RNase_P_RNA from 1 species
AUAGUAGGACGGCUUGUCGCUGCAGCUCUUCGUGGCUGAAGAGGAAAGUCCGGGCAACACAGAGCACCAUACUUCUUAACGGGAAGUGGGCCGUGAGGUUCAAGUCAAUGUAACAGAAAAUAACCGCCUUAUUGUGCAUUAUGCAUUAUGCAUUGUGCAUUGAUGUAGGGUAAGGGUGAAAAGGUGGGGUAAGAGCCUACCGCCAGUGUGGCAACACAUUUGGGUCAGUACAACUUAUGGGUUGAAAGUUCAAGUAAACCAACGUCAUGUUAGGGCUGCUCGCCCGAGUAUCGUUGGAGGGUAGAACGAUAGAGACAUCUGGCGACAGAUGUAGUAGAUAAAUGACAAGCACUAUUUGUUUCCAAAUAGCACAAAACCCGGCUUAUAGUCCUACUAUUAUU